UAAAUAUAUAUUAGAAAGAUGAUAAUUGCAUGUACAUUUGUAUAAAUAGAAAUGCUAUUUAUAAAGAUAGCUGUAAAUUAUUUAUAAUGGGAGUUUUUUUCUCUCAUUUGCUUCCCCCCCCCCCUCGACAAAAAUCAAGACCGCCUUAAUUGCUUCCCUGGGCAACUAAGGUUUGAUGUAACAUGUGAUUAUUCAUAAAGUAUGUUUAAAAAAAUAAAAAAUAAACUUUCUUAAUGCUUCAGCAAAUUUGAUUGAUCGAACAAAUCAUCGCUGUUGGAGAGACUCGAAAAUAAUCGCAAUUUUAAAACUUUGUUAAUUAUCUAGACAUUUUUUAAGAUCUAUUUUAAGGUCGUAUAUACUACACUUUGACUUCAUUGACCAAUACCUCAUUAAAGUCCACAACAGCAGUUAUUUUUGAUUCAUUAAAUUUAAUUGUGUUGUUGAUAAUGACAUCGCAAUGAAAUCGGAACUUUUCUAGGAUUAAGAUGCAUUGCAUAGUUACUGUUUCAACUUACAUGGAGACUUAUAAGUUUUAAUAGCAUUUUCAUGUUAGUCGAUACGAGUUCACUUUAAUUAAUUGAAACCAGGACAUAAAUUUAGUUUUUUUAUAAAUUGACUUGCAGACAGUUUUUUAAUGGAUCGUAGCGACAGUUACGUUUAAGAUGUAAACGAUGAUGCACUCAUAUCACACCACUCAGAAAAUGCAAAAAUAUCACAAAAAUUAGAGAAACAUUGUUCACUCUUGUGACUGAAACAUAUACCUGGGACCAUACCAGAACAUUUUAUCUUGUUGGAAGAUGUGAUUUAUUAAGAUACUAGCAGGUCGACUUCAAUUUUAAAGAAAGAGGGGGAAGGAGGGGACGUUUUUAAAAAUCUAUUAAUUCGGAGACAAAAACAUUAACAUAGUAUUUAUACAUGUUAUAACAAUGCGUGGAUUUUUGUCUGAGCUCCCUUUGAAGAUUCAGAUUUUGCCAUGUAUUAAUUUUUAAACAUAAAGUAAAUAGUUUCAUGACAUUGUUUUGGUUCUGUAGUGUUAAAAAUCGUAAUUCCAA
rnacentral:lncRNA from 1 species